UACGUAGGAUUCGAGCGUUAUCCGGAUUUAUUGGGUUUAAAGGGAGCGUAGGCGGGUUGUUAAGUCAGUUGUGAAAGUUUGCGGCUCAACCGUAAAAUUGCAGUUGAUACUGGCAUCCUUGAGUACAGUAGAGGUAGGCGGAAUUCGUGGUGUAGCGGUGAAAUGCUUAGAUAUCACGAAGAACUCCGAUUGCGAAGGCAGCCUGCUGGACUGUAACUGACGCUGAUGCUCGAAAGUGUGGGUAUCAAACAGG
rnacentral:rRNA from 1 species